ACGAACGCUGGCGGCGUGCUUAACACAUGCAAGUCGAACGGAAAGGCCCCUUUGGGGGUACUCGAGUGGCGAACGGGUGAGUAACACGUGAGUAACCUGCCCUUGACUUCGGGAUAACUUCAGGAAACUGGGGCUAAUACCGGAUAGGAAUCCUUGCUGCAUGGUGGGGGUUGGAAAGCUUCGGCGGUUUUGGAUGGACUCGCGGCUUAUCAGCUUGUUGGUGGGGUAGUGGCUUACCAAGGCUUUGACGGGUAGCCGGCCUGAGAGGGCGACCGGCCACAUUGGGACUGAGAUACGGCCCAGACUCCUACGGGAGGCAGCAGUGAGGAAUAUUGCACAAUGGGCGGAAGCCUGAUGCAGCAACGCCGCGUGCGGGAUGACGGCCUUCGGGUUGUAAACCGCUUUCAGCAGGGGCGAAGCUUGUGGUGACGGUACCUGCAGAAGAAGCACCGGCUAACUACGUG
rnacentral:rRNA from 1 species